CCCCUCCCCCUCCAGCCAACCCCCCACAUUAAAAGCACAAUACAAGGAAAGAGGAAACAGCAGUGCUAACUGCAUGAAGAUGAUAUUUUGAAUGGCUUGGUGGCAUCAUCUUACGGGAUUCAACAGAAUUAAGGAGUGAUGAGGAGCCCUCAGAAGAGGAGAAACUACCCUGGUGGUUGAUAAGGGCGGUGAUCCAUCUUUCUGUCAUAUCUAUCUUAUUCCUGGCAGUGCUCAACCCCAG
rnacentral:lncRNA from 1 species